rnacentral:tRNA from 1 species
GGGCAUAUGGCUUAGUGGUUAAAGCUUUCGGUUGAUAAUCGAAAAAUCAGAGGUUCAAAUCCUUUUAUGCCUA